rnacentral:lncRNA from 1 species
ACUGAAGAAACCCGCCGGCUGCUGGGGCAGGGCGGCGAAAGGUCAGUCGGCCGAGAGGAGUCCGUGGAGCCACCGUUUCAUAGCCUCAGGGAAAGGAUCGGGCGUGCUCACGAGCCCUCUAACCCAUGGCUUAAACACCCGCUUCCUAAGCCUGGUUCCUGAAUAUAUCACAUGUGGUGAUAAACAUGAAGAUGUAUGAAAAAUUGUGUUCGUUGAGAGAAAAUGGAAGGCUUUUCAUUCUACUUCCACAUUUUCAUUCCAGCAGCUUUUCUGUUUUGGAAGAUGAGUACUGAAUCUUGCAAUGAAAUUUUUUUAACUUAAACAAGACAAGGAAAAUGAAGCGCAGAGACGUUAAAUAACUCUCUCAAGGUCAUGCAGCUGAGAAGAGAUGAGACUUGAACUCCAGUGCCAGCCCUGUUAAUCACUAUUCUGUACUGUCUUUCAGGUUCUUAUGCCUUUGUUUGAAAAACAUGGUUCCCUGUGAAAUUUUACAUGUAGAAGAAAGCUUCACACUACGAGAGCUCUCAGGAUAUAAUUAUUUCAGACAGAUACUGGGAACAUAAGAUGGCUUAUCAAUCUAAGAUGGCCUUCCUGUCCUUCGGAUUGAACUGAAACCAUCCCUGAUUCCAGGGAUAGGUAGAUGAUCCAGGUUUGGACAAUCAAAAUAUUGAACCACCCUGGACCUACAAGUGUUUCUGGGAUGGGAACAUGCAAACGUUGGUCCAAAUUGUUGUUCUAGGCAGCCCAGUACAUUUCUCCAAUGCCUGGUAAGCUCUAAAUAUCUCUAAAUGUUUGUUGCAGAAUGAAUGAGAAUAAAAGUAUUCUCUUAGAACAUAUCCCUGACAUUAGGUGUGGGAUAAAAGUGGAAAAUGCAGUUUGCCUCAUAAAAAUAGCUUUCAGAAAUGACUUUUCUACAACAGCCAUUCACCAGUAUUCUAAAGGGCACCUGUCAAGGAGUCACUGCAUUUUCAAAAGUACAUUUAUUUUCACAUCACUGGCCAAAGUUGAUCUAUUAUCAUCACAUUAGGCCCCUAGUAUAGAGAUGGCCCCUAAAUUAGAAGCAGAUUUGAAUUGUUGAGACCUAAAAGCUUAGUUCCCUUAGAAGACUUUUUACCUGAGGGCAGGAGGUAUAGUGAGGAUCACCUGCUUUGAGUCAUACUGGCCUGAGGUUGAAUCAUAACUUUGAAGUCAACUGAGGAAUUGCAUACUAUGCAUAGCAUGACCAGCGGCAUACUAUGCAAUUCCUCAGUUGACCGAGUAAUUAUACCCACCCAUAGGAUUGUUUUGUGAGUUAAAGGAAAGCUAUAUAUACUUACAUAAAAUAAGCUGUAUUAUUUUACUUUCUUUUACAACUCUCAGUUGCAGGGAUAAAAGGGAAGGAAAGAAGGGAGGGAUGGAAGGAAAGAAUAAUGGAAGGAGGAAAGGAAUUAUAAAAGAAAAUUGGCUAAAAAAAUUAACUCAUUACUAAAAUAUUAAGGGUUCAAACAGUAUUCUCAGGACUUGGUAUCUGCAUUUCUACAGCCUAUUUUUCUUAAUACUUGCUUUAACUGUCAAAGGAGUUAUUUCCUAAUGUCAUCCUUUAGCAACUCUAAACUUACAUCUUGCCAUUUUCUAAUAUAACAUAAAAAAGAGCAACUCUCCCUGAAAUACCUAUAGAAGUCUUGGCCUCACUUUGAUGAGACAAACUUGCAUGUUUCUGUUCCUAAAACAACUGUAGAUCCAGGGGGGUUCAAUAUUUUGAUUAUCCAAACCUAGAUCACAUGCCUGUCCCUGAAAUCGGAUAGUUUCAGCUCAAUCCAAAGCAGGGGGACCGAAGGCACAGGAAGCACGGUUGUCCAAAGAAAAUUGUUGAUAGUGUUACCAAAAGAAAGGGGAGUGAAUGUUAGAUGGUAAAAUCAGAAAAAAAUGUCCACUACACUGUCACUUAACUAAAUAGCAGUUAUUAUUGUGUUUUGUGCCACUUACAGAUUCCUAUUAAACCUACUACUACAUUUUAAAAAAUCGCUCUAUUUAACAACUUUAUUCAGAAAAUAUAUUUAGAUUUCCAAUUUGGGAUAUUGCGAUACAUCUUCUACCUUUGCUUCAAGAUGAAUAUAAUUAGCAGGAAUUCCUUAACAGGCCUAUGUGGAACUCUCAUUUAACUUUUAUGAGCCUCAGUUUUCUUCCCAUUGUCUAGAGAGUUACCCAAACAAUUUUCUUUACUUUUGGCCAAGGUAUCUCUGCUCCCUGCAGAAUAUAACAGAUUGUUGUCUUAUAACUUUUCUCCUUUUCUCUUGUUCCAGAAGCAACAGUUACUUCUUUUAGGCUAUUUUCUGUUUUUGUUUGGUUUUGUUUUGUUUUCUUUUCCCUCAAACUGCUAAUAACUAUAUACAUACCACUACUUCUCGCUUCUCUUUUUUUACUUUGGCUCUAGAUGGAAUGAUAGGGUAUGCAUAAAUGUUCAUGUGGGCUCUGGAGUAUACCAGGAACUGAAGUAAGGUACAUGGACGUCUUGAAUAUUGUAACUGAGAUGGGCAAGCCUACACCUUUGCAAAUAAAGGAGGAUUGGGAAAGAUUAAGCCUCUCAAGCACUGUGAAAAAUCACUUUCUCUUGUUGUAUUCUUGGAGCCCCUGCUAAUUCAUUAUUGAAAAAUACCUGCUGCCUGCAUUUGGCCUUAUGUUGUCAUUUACUUGGGUCUGUGCAUGGCGUUUAGAAGGCUACACCUUAGGCUGGGGGUCAAGAAUGUCUUCCCUGAUGUGAGGUUUACACAGAGAUCUGAAGAAUGAAGAGUCCAGCUAAGUUAAGUGGGAGCGGAUUAAGGGAAUGCAAGGACAUGAAAGAGUGUCCUAGGCAGAGGGAACAACAUAUACAAAGGCCCUGAGGUGGGAGUGAACAAGGAACUGAGAGAAGAACUGAGAGAAGGCCACUGUGGAAAGCCAGAUGCUGUGUGACAUGAAUAAUGGGACACAGGAAAUUGAGAUAUUAGCAAAAGAGAGAUUGAUGACCCAUAGGCUUGAAGAUGUACUGGAACUAAAGUAAGGGGCGAGGAUAAAUAAAAAGAGGGAGAAAUUGGAGAAACAGAGUGCUUGGAAGCCCUGAUGAAUUUGAGGAAAAGGAUGGUGAUAGAGUUGACCUAGCCAGCUAGAAGAGUAGUACUUUUUAGUCAGUGAGCCCUCCAUCCCAUUUCUCAUUAAUUCUUGUAACACUUUCUCACUUCCUAUAUUCUGUCAUAUUUUAUAGUUGUUUAUAUAAUUAUCUUAU